CCUACGGGAGGCAGCAGUGGGGAAUAUUGCACAAUGGGCGCAAGCCUGAUGCAGCCAUGCCGCGUGUGUGAAGAAGGCCUUCGGGUUGUAAAGCACUUUCAGCGGGGAGGAAGGCGGUGAGGUUAAUAACCUCAUCGAUUGACGUUACCCGCAGAAGAAGCACCGGCUAACUCCGUGCCAGCAGCCGCGGUAAUACGGAGGGUGCAAGCGUUAAUCGGAAUUACUGGGCGUAAAGCGCACGCAGGCGGUCUGUCAAGUCGGAUGUGAAAUCCCCGGGCUCAACCUGGGAACUGCAUUCGAAACUGGCAGGCUAGAGUCUUGUAGAGGGGGGUAGAAUUCCAGGUAUAGCGGUGAAAUGCGUAGAGAUCUGGAGGAAUACCAGUGGCGAAGGCGGCCCCCUGGACAAAGACUGACGCUCAGGUGCGAAAGCGUGGGGAGCAAACAGGAUUAGAUACCCUUGUAGUC
rnacentral:rRNA from 1 species